CCUACGGGCGGCAGCUAAGAAUAUUCCGCAAUGGACGAAAGUCUGACGGAGCGACGCCGCGUGGAUGAAGAAGGCCGAAAGGUUGUAAAAUCCUUUUGCUGAGGAAGAAUAAGUGUGGGAGGGAAUGCCCGCAUGAUGACAUGAAUCGGCGAAUAAGCCCCGGCCAACUACGUGCCGGCAGCAGCGGUAACACGAAGGGGGCGAGCGUUGUUCGGAAUUACUGGGCGUAAAGGGCACGUAGGGGGUUAUGUAAGCCUGGCGUGAAAGUCCACAGCUUAACUGUGGGAUUGCGUUGGGAACUAGAUGACUAGAGUGACGGAGAGGGAGCUAGAAUUCCUGGUGUAGGGGUGGAAUCUGUAGAGAUCAGGAAGAAUACCGAUGGCGAAGGCAAGCUCCUGGCCGAUGACUGACGCUGAGGUGCGAAAGUGUGGGGAUCAAACA
rnacentral:rRNA from 1 species